GUGAAUCAUCGAAUUUUUGAACGCAAAUUGCACUCUCCUCGGAGAGUACGCCUGUUUGAGGGUCAGCCUAUAAAAAUCGACAUCGUUUCUUGUUCGCGGGUGCGGUCGGCGGGAAUUUGGUCAUCUUAAAUCCUUUUUGUUUAUGCUACUUAAAAUUUUCUUUUUUUUCCAUGAACGUUUCUAAGAUCGAUUUCUUACACUUUUAAGUUAUCGAUUUUUACUAUACUUGACGUUCAUAUCAUAUCGCGUCCAUAAUCUUUCAUUAACUUACCUCAGACAGGUAAGAUUACCCUCUGAACUU
rnacentral:misc_RNA from 1 species